UACGGAGGGUGCAAGCGUUAUCCGGAUUUACUGGGUUUAAGGGGUGUGUAGGCGGACUAUUAAGUCAGCGGUGAAAUCUCCGGGCUCAACCCGGAAACUGCCAUUGAUACUAUUAGUCUUGAAUGUUGUUGAGGUGGGCGGAACGGGUCAUGUAGCGGUGAAAUGCAUAGAUAUGACCCGGAACACCGAUUGCGAAGGCAGCCCACUAAGCAACGAUUGACGCUGAGGCACGAAAGCGUGGGGAUCAAACAGG
rnacentral:rRNA from 1 species